rnacentral:rRNA from 1 species
GAUGAACGCUAGCUACAGGCUUAACACAUGCAAGUCGAGGGGAAACGGCAUUGAGUGCUUGCACUCUUUGGACGUCGACCGGCGCACGGGUGAGUAACGCGUAUCCAACCUUCCCAUUACUGUGGGAUAACCUGCCGAAAGGCAGACUAAUACCGCAUAGUCUUCGAUGACGGCAUCAGAUUUGAAGUAAAGAUUUAUCGGUAAUGGAUGGGGAUGCGUCUGAUUAGCUUGUUGGCGGGGUAACGGCCCACCAAGGCUACGAUCAGUAGGGGUUCUGAGAGGAAGGUCCCCCACAUUGGAACUGAGACACGGUCCAAACUCCUACGGGAGGCAGCAGUGAGGAAUAUUGGUCAAUGGACGGAAGUCUGAACCAGCCAAGUAGCGUGCAGGAUGACGGCCUAUGGGUUGUAAACUGCUUUUGUAUGGGGAUAAAGUUAGGGACGUGUCCCUAUUUGCAGGUACCAUACGAAUAAGGACCGGCUAAUUCCGUG